rnacentral:snRNA from 1 species
GGAUGUGAGGGCAAUCUGGCUGUGACAUCUGUCACCCCAUGGAUCACCAGGGUUGAUUUGGCUGAUCUGGCUGGCUAGGCGGGUGUCCCCUUCCUCCCUCACUGCUCCAUGUGUGUUCCUCCCAAAGCUGUGGAAGAGAAUGACCUUCCCCACUAGAGGAGGACCGGUCAGCGGUCAAGGGCUUAAGAGUAGCUGCGGUCCCUGCUAGAAUCUCUAAUUCACAAGAAGGAAUAGCAGGAGACCCCUCAGAAUAGGUGCAUGCUUUGUGGUUAAA